UACGAGGGGGGCGAGCGUUGUUCGGAAUUAUUGGGCGUAAAGGGUGCGUAGGCGGUUUGGUAAGUCUUAUGUGAAAUCUACAGGCUCAACUUGUAGUCUGCAUGAGAAACUGCCGGGCUUGAGUAUGGGAGAGGUGAGUGGAAUUCCUGGUGUAGCGGUGAAAUGCGUAGAUAUCAGGAGGAACACCUGUGGCGAAAGCGGCUCACUGGACACUUACUGACGCUGAGACGCGAAAGCGUGGGGAGCAAACAGG
rnacentral:rRNA from 1 species